UACGGGGGGGGCAAGCGUUGUUCGGAAUUACUGGGCGUAAAGGGCUCGUAGGUGGCCAACUAAGUCGGACGUGAAAUCCCUCGGCUUAACCGGGGAACUGCGUCCGAUACUGGUUGGCUUGAGUUUGGGAGAGGGAUGCGGAAUUCCAGGUGUAGCGGUGAAAUGCGUAGAUAUCUGGAGGAAUACCGGUGGCGAAGGCGGCAUCCUGGACCAAUACUGAUGCUGAGGAGCGAAAGCCAGGGGAGCAAACGGG
rnacentral:rRNA from 1 species